AUGCUGGCUCUGGCAGCACAUAUACUAAAAUUGGAACAAUACAGAGAUUAGCACAGCCCCUGCCCCCUGAGCUGGUAUGGCAUGGAAAUGAAGCAUUCCAUAUUUAC
ensembl:snRNA U6 U6 spliceosomal RNA